GGUUUGAAGUGACAGGGAACAAGUCUGCCUUUAGGUCAAAGGUCAAAAACAGCUGACCACAAAAUGGUUUCUGUGCUCUCUCUCUCCCCCACUUUGUUUGACAUUUGCCGUUGAGGUUGCCAGAGUCCUGGCCUUGCUCACUGAUCCUAGAACAGAUUAGAUCAAAUGAAAUUAAGAUUAAAAAAAAACUACCUCAGGGUAUUGUUACCUCAGUAUUCCUAAUUUCUUCUUUCCGUUUUUUUUUUUUUUUUUUUGGCUUGCUUGCUGGUGUUUUUAUAUAAAAGCUGAUAGUCUUGAAUAUUUUAUUUUUUUAAGGAAGAAGUAUUUGACUUUUUCUUUUUGGGUAUGAGUGUAUGCGUGAGUGUAAUUGAGGGUGUUUUUCCUCACCUGAGCUCAGAAGGACUCCCAGGAAAAAUUCUGAAUUGUUUAGGUGGUCUCUCUCACCUGGGGUCCUUGAAGAGUCGCACUUGAAAUCACUGUUCAAUGGGACGUAGGACGGGUCAUACCAUCUCUGACAGGAGCAUAAUGAACGUUGCCAUACCACGGGAUUUUAAAUCUGACGCAUAUGCGUUUGUUUGUCAUACAAGCUGAUCAUAGAAAUCUAAAAAUGGCUUCUUUUUCUAACUUGUGCCAUUUAUUUUUGCACCUGUGGUGUGAUGUUAAUCAUUCUGCACUGAUGGAUUUUGACAUCAUUGGAUGACUUGCUUGAAAGGGCUUGACUUACUCGCCAUGCUUGAAAAAAAAAAGAAAGCAUGAUGACAAUCUACAGCCCCAAGACACUGAAUGUGAACCAUUCGACAUCUCUCUCCUGUAUUUUUUUUUUUUUUUUUGGGAUUGAGUCUCGUCCUUCCCCAUUGUCCUUGAGCAAGUGUGCGCGAGUGUGUUUUCUAAAUGAGUUAAAGUGUUAAAUCUUUAUGUUGGGGAAGUGCUUUGGGUGUUUUAAAAAGGCAGGAACAUAAAAAAACACUCAAUUAAAAAAAAAACUGACUGAGAACAUAAAAGGUACCUUUGCAAAAACGGAAGCCAAAAAAUAUAAAGUAAAUUCAAAUAACAACAUUCACAUCUCUCGAAUUGAAACCUGUAAAUAAUUUGUUUUACGGAACAAUCAGAUUAAAAAGCUUUUUGUAUUAUUCUUUUUUUUUUCAGAAUAAAAUACUAAUUGGAUAAAGGAUGGAAAGACUUUUAGGCGUUAAAGAUGGAUGGACACUGCCAGACCACAUCCUUUUCGGGUUUCAUUCAGACAAAGGGUUUUCUAGCAUGUUCAUGUGCUUUAACUGCUCAUGGUCUUUUAUUUAGUUUUUGUGUAAGCUUCCCUUUUUCACAAUAGAUGGCAGUCUUCUGUUUUGUGCUUGAGGACUGAACUCGUCAAUGACUCCUCUCCAUUGAGACACAAUACAAACUGCUUUUCUGGCGGGACAGAAGCGUCUGUCCUGUUCCAGCCCGUAGACACACUCACACACUUCUGCUCUGUUCAGACUGCAGCAGCCUUUUUAUUUUAUGUUUUAAUUUUUUUUUUUUUUUGACAGCAAGCUUUAUUUGGACAUGACAUCUGGUUGCGAACUGUUUCAUCAAUAAAAUACAAAAAAAUAUGUGAGCGAGAAAUAAUAGCAUAACAGCAGAUCUCCAAGAACUAACAUAGUGUUGUGACAAAAAAAAAGUAGUAGAUAUAUUAUUGUAAUUGCAUUUUUAGUUAUUUUGUCUCUUUUAUUAUUAAUUUUCUUUGGGUGAAAGGUGGAAGAGAUGAGAGGGAGAUGCCCUGGACCAUUUUAAAAGCCACAUUUGUCCCCUUCCUCUUUUUCCCCACAUGUUCUUACCUUUCACCCCCUUCCACCACUCGCUCCCUUCAUCCGCUCAUUCUGGUUUUGUGUUAUUAUCCGAUUCAAAAGAGACUUGGUCGAGCGACCUGUGGUUUCAUUUCUGGAGCUGAGCGCCCUCUCUCACGCUGGCCUCGUUUGUGACCGUUUCCUCUGUUCAGUUCAGUCGUCUGAUAUUGAAUUUCUUUAAGAUUUAUUUUUCCUCAUUCGUUUUUUCAAAUUGUCUUCAUUUAGUUUGGAUUAUAGCUAGGUUUCAUGAUCAGAGUUCUUUAUGCACAGACACCUCUUACACUGCUACUAGUUCAUUUGAAAUACUAACAAAUGAUUCAUUCUUCACGUAAUACCUGUGCCAAACUGGGGUUCGUUUUGUUGUUAUACUCCAGGAAAAAGGAACUAAUUAAGACUGUUCGCAGUCAGGAACGGAUGCAGUGCUCAUGUAGAUACACAGUUCCCUGAGUACUGCGAGUCGGCCUCCUGUUUGGCACUUGGAAGUGUUUUCUUCUCUCCUUUUUAUUUCAAGGUCCUCCACACGUUGUCGGUGGCGAGGGCUUGGACAAACCGUAGAACCGUAUAGCAUACUUGAGCUCAGAAAAGAGAUAGUAUGUUGUUUACUUAUGCAAUUCUGUGACGAGUCAAGCGAAUUGCUUUCGCUGGUCGCACGGACUGUUAAGUGUCCACUGGGAAAAGUUGCAUUGCAGUGAUAGAUCACAGGUUGAAGCGCAGUUUAGUUGGGUGUGAUCAUCAUAUGGACGUUGCAUGCCACUGUUGUAUCUCACCGUGAUAGUUUCUGGCCUCUCCUUAAGGAAGACAUUUGGGUGCUACAAAUGACGAAUCAAACCUCACAUAACUAGGAACGCUACCUCAAGACUUAGCCAUAAGAUUGUUUUUAUCAAGCAGAUGAGAGCGAAAGUGCAUGUUACAUUUGACUUUUGAGUUUUAAUUUAUUUUUAGCUCUUCAUUUCUGUAGACGUUUGGAUAGAAUACUACUCCAGCUUAGAGCUGGGACUCUUUUGCGGGGCAAGGUGGCAGGACAGGAAAUGGAUGUGUUUGGUGAUGGUUUGCACGGGAGGAGGACCGUUGAAAAGCCUGUGAAAUUCUGUUAGUGCACACAGUUAAGUUAAAGUUUCUCCCUACGUUGUGACUUAUGGUGCAUUCAAGUCAUGUCGGAAAGAUUUAUGGGUUGAAUGCACAUGAAUGCCACCGCAAAGUUGUGGGAAACUCUUUAUUGGCCUUCCAAGAUGUAGAUGAGGUUGUUUCUUCAUUGGAACAGAUUUGGAGAAAUUCAGCAUUACAUCAGUUACUCACCAAUGGAUCCUCUGCAGUCAACGGGUUCCGUCAGAAUGAGAGUUUAAACAGCUGAUGAAAACAUUACAACAAUCCACAAGUAAUCCACAAGACUCCAGUCCAACAGUUACAGUCUUUUGAAGUGAGAAGCUGCGUGUUUUUAAGAUUAUACCCAUCAAGAUGUUUUUUAACUUCAAACUGUUGUGAAAUGCAAGCCUUUUAUCCAUAAUAUUGCUUUACUUUGUGGAUUACUUGUUAUUGUGAUGCUUUUUUUUUAACUCUCAUUCUGACGGCACCCAUUCACUGCAGAGGUGAGCAAUGACGCAAUGCUAAAUUUUUCCAAAUCUGUUCCGAUGAAGAAACAAACUCCUCUAAGCCCUAAAAAGUCCGGGGGCGUCCUUGAGGAAAAUAUUGCAGGCACAAUGGAUCGCAUGCACAAAAUAAAGUAGUAUUGUACAAUUACGAUUACAGCAUGAAUUUAAUAAAAACAUGUGCAUUCUUUAUACAUCAUAUAUGGAAGUAAAAGAAUCUUUCCACCCAUCAAAGUGACUUGAACACACAUGACGUCGUAAUUACAACUUCCCAACUCAUAAAUACAGACUGAACGCACAAUAAGACCUGACUAUUAUGAAACUAAUGGCACAAACGUAACCAGGCCAGCAUUUGUAGAGUGAAUAAUGAUACCUAUGUAGAUGAAACACACGACUGUGCCUGUUGCGCUAUUUCCUCUGUGUCCUUUCCCUUUUCGAUGGCACCACACUACCUCCAUGCCAUGCAGCCUUGACCCCCAAGUACAACCCUCCCCAUUUAGAAGCCCUUUUCUCACUGGUCUUGAAAACAGUUUCACCUUCUUUCCUUUCCGGUGAAACUCGAUUUCAGUCAGCAACAAAAUAGAGCUUCUACUAAUAUUCUGUCCUCCACCUGUAGUCCCAUCUUAUCACUUAACGGCCUGAAUCAAAAGGCACGACUCCUGUAACCAUGUGUUUUUCAUUUCUUUUGUUGAUCUACCUCUCAGAAUAAAUAUAAAUCGAUAUAGAAUAGAUCAUAAAACUAAAAAGGACACAAAAAGUUAAUUUUGAAAACGUUAAGCUUAAUGAAUCAAUAAUAAUAAUAAUAAAUGACUUGAGCAACUGGGUAGCAGCAUCUCCAUAUACUGUAGUGCAUAGGAGUCUUUUACUUCCAAAGAUGAUUUUUCUUCAGUCGUUUUUGAAAUUGUUCUGGAUGAAUUUGGAAAUGGAAAUGUGGGAGGGGAAAUAUGUCAAUUCCACUAUCCAGUCUCUUUAUUUUAUAAUUUUUUUUCAUUAUUAUUAAACUGACUUUAUUUUUAACUUACAAGUUGUUCAUCUUUCUGAUUUAUAGUUCUGAUGGCUUUUUAAAUAUGACAUAGGAUUGUAUCUCUUAUGUUUGCAAUAGAAUCCGCUCUCUUUCUCUGUGAACCGCAACAUAAUAGUAUCUUUUCAGGCCGCACAGAGCAGCAUGAUGUUGAAAUCGUUUCAAUUUUUAUUAUUUCAUUUCACCUGUAAUGAUGCAACAGGAGAGUGAAGGUCUGUUGAAUUAAAUGGGGCACAUUUUGGGAGGAUGAGAGAGGAAGGAGACUACCUUUACUGGACUACCUUUAUCCCUUCACUCUUCUUCCAGCAGGUGCCACAGACAUUAUCAGGACUUUCAGCCUCUGCCUGCCUGAUUUACUUUGAUUCUCAUCCACAAUCGUUUUGAACUCCUUGUAAAGAAUACAGAGCAUAGAUAUGAAUGUGACAAUAAAUGAUGAGUAAACAGG